GAGUUCGAAGAAAAUUCAUGUACAUUUAAGAUAUAUGGAGAGCUCCUCACGAUUCGGAAUGUUUGAUUUGCGUGAGUCCCCUUGCCUCUCACGAUUCGGAGAUGAAUGUGCCCAAACCUUUAAAUCUUGGUCGUGUCGAGCUCGUCAAAGUAUUAGGAAUCGGUGCCACAUGACAGAAGAAGAAAUCAAUUGUAAUGCCAUAUGAAGAAAAUAUUGCGUCAAAAUGAAAACCGCUUUGAUGGUAACUGAAAAACCUUCUUUGGCAGCAUCCCUGGCCAAUAUAUUGAGUAAUGGACGAUGUAAUAUCAAAAAACGACUGAAUGGCUUUUGUUCCGUCCACGAAUGGGUAGGUCAAUUUAGAUCCGAGACUGU